rnacentral:rRNA from 1 species
GACGAACGCUGGCGGCGUGCUUAACACAUGCAAGUCGAACGGAAAGGCCCCUUUGGGGGUACUCGAGUGGCGAACGGGUGAGUAACACGUGAGUAACCUGCCCUUGACUUCGGGAUAACUUCAGGAAACUGGGGCUAAUACCGGAUAGGAAUCCUUGCUGCAUGGUGGGGGUUGGAAAGCUUCGGCGGUUUUGGAUGGACUCGCGGCUUAUCAGCUUGUUGGUGGGGUAGUGGCUUACCAAGGCUUUGACGGGUAGCCGGCCUGGGAGGGCGACCGGCCACAUUGGGACUGAGAUACGGCCCAGACUCCCACGGGAGGCAGCAGGGGGGAAUAUUGCACAAUGGGCGGAAGCCUGAUGCAGCAACGCCGCGUGCGGGAUGACGGCCUUCGGGUUGUAAACCGCUUUCAGCAGGGGAGAAGCUGGUGGUGACGGUACCUGCAGAAGAAGCACCGGCUAACUACGUG